rnacentral:tRNA from 1 species
UAUAUUUUAAUGUAUGAGGCAUAUAAAUUUUUGAAAUUUAUAGAUAUAGUUAAAUUCUAUAAAAUUAA